AGCGGCGCACGGGUGAGUAACGCGUGGAUAAUCUACCCAUGAACCUGGGAUAACAGCGAGAAAUUGUUGCUAAUACCGGAUAAGCUUACGUACUGUAAGGGUAUGUGGGAAAAGGCGGCCUCUGGAACAAGCUGCCGUUUAUGGAUGAGUCCGCGUCCCAUUAGCUUGUUGGUGGGGUAAAGGCCUACCAAGGCAACGAUGGGUAGCCGGCCUGAGAGGGUGGCCGGCCACACUGGAACUGAAACACGGUCCAGACUCCUACGGGAGGCAGCAGUGGGGAAUAUUGCGCAAUGGGCGAAAGCCUGACGCAGCAACGCCGCGUGAGGGAAGAAGGUUUUCGGAUCGUAAACCUCUGUCGGGAGGGAAGAACGGCAUGGGGUCGAAGAGGCUCUGUGAUUGACGGUACCUCCAAAGGAAGCACCGGCUAACUCCGUGCCAGCAGCCGCGGUAAUACGGAGGGUGCGAGCGUUAUUCGGAAUUACUGGGCGUAAAGGGCGUGUAGGCGGCUUUGUAAGUCAGAUGUGAAAGCCCACGGCUUAACCGUGGAACUGCAUUUGAAACUGCUUGGCUAGAGUACGGGAGGGGGUGGCGGAAUUCCCGGUGUAGGAGUGAAAUCCGUAGAUAUCGGGAGGAACACCGGCGGCGAAGGCGGCCACCUGGACCGUAACUGACGCUGAGACGCGAAAGCGUGGGGAGCAAACAGGAUUAGAUACCCUGGUAGUCCACGCUGUAAACGAUGGAUGCUAGGUGUUGGGGAGCAAUCUUCAGUGCCGCAGUUAACGCGUUAAGCAUCCCGCCUGGGGGAGUACGGUCGCAAGGCUGAAACUCAAAU
rnacentral:rRNA from 1 species